rnacentral:rRNA from 1 species
AUUGAACGCUGGCGGAAUGCUUUACACAUGCAAGUCGAACGGCAGCACGGACUUCGGUCUGGUGGCGAGUAGCGAACGGGUGAGUAAUGUAUCGGAACGUGCCCAGUCGUGGGGGAUAACGUAGUGAAAAUUACGCUAAUACCGCAUACGAUCUAUGGAUGAAAGCGGGGGAUCGCAAGACCUCGCGCGAUUGGAGCGGCCGAUAUCAGAUUAGGUAGUUGGUGGGGUAAAGGCCCACCAAGCCAACGAUCUGUAGCUGGUCUGAGAGGACGACCAGCCACACUGGAACUGAGACACGGUCCAGACUCCUACGGGAGGCAGCAGUGGGGAAUUUUGGACAAUGGGCGAAAGCCUGAUCCAGCCAUUCCGCGUGCAGGAUGAAGGCCCUCGGGUUGUAAACUGCUUUCGUACGGAACGAAAAGGUUUCUACUAAUACUAGGAGCUCAUGACGGUACUGUAAGAAUAAGCACCGGCUAACUACGUGCCAGCCGCCGCAGUAA